GGGUCACUCAAGGCCUGUGCAGAGGCAGGAGAGGAGAAGAUUUGAACAGCAUGGCAGAGCCUUUAAGGAUUAUGUCAAGUGGGGAGCUUUCAAGACAGAGGACGGUCCCUUCCUGCUACUCAGUCCAAACAGAUAUGCCAAGAGCUUCCCCAGGCGCAGACUCUGUGUGGUGUCCAGCUGCGUGUGACACAGUCAUUGCAAGCUCCUGGGACUCCCCUCCCUGGAGCAAGGCUGCCGUAUAGCACAGAGGAAUGAGCUCAGCCCAAAGGGCAUCUAAGUGGAUGCAUCACAAAGACAAAGGAUCCCCCCUUUCCUGCCUGACCCUCUUGUCUCUGGUGUGCUGCAAACUGUGAGUUUUGGAAGGUAGCAAAAGAAGAACAUGGAACUAAGGGGCAAGAGGGACUCAUCAUAUUUCUAAGCUGGCACCAAGGAACAGGGACUGGCGAUGGGCCAGGGGUAAGUUAGUAGUUGUGUAUAGCACAACAACCGCUUUUCAGAGUCCACUCCUUGUCUUGCCACACAAAAGCCCCUGGAAUUCUGCCCCUCUACUCCCAGCAUAAUGCAUCCCCAGGUCAGACUGCAGCUACCAUUAGAAAAGCAGAGUGAAAACAAUCCACCAUAUGUCCCAACGUCCUGCUCCAAAUGGAAAAACACCCGGAGGACUCUCUAGCAUGGACUGUCUCUCUUCAGGCUGUGCUCACACACAGCAGCCUGGGGACACACAUCUACAUACAGGCAAGAAGAGGGAACCUCCUCCCAACAUCAUCUCACUCAGCUCAGCUCAGACAUCUGGGAGAAGGAGCUUACCGCAGAGCUCUGCAGAAAUCUUAAAAGGAUCCAUCCGAGUUAUUGCUCCAUUGGGGAAUCUCAGCAGUCAGACAGGGCGGGCUCUGUUCCAUGUACGGAACACUGGGUCAGCUGGAGACCCGGGGGAGCACAUGGAAAGGCUCUGCAGACCCAACAGGAUAGGAGACUAGGACUGAGACCAGAGGACAGCAGAGGAACAGAGAAUGCACCCAUCCAGUUCUUGGCUUCACACAGAUGUUGCACUUGUUUAACUUAACUAUUUUUAAACAGCUGCAGAUCCCCGUGUGCGUACUUAUUUCCAUUUGGGAAUGUCUCUUUUCAGUUUCACUUGCAGUGAUGUGAGCCAAGCCAAAAGCAUGGUUCCCUACGAAAUAAGAGUGUCCACACAGCUUUUUGCACUUGUUUAACCAAGUUAGUGUAAAAUCACCUAUUAAGUUACACUGCCACCACUUUCUCACGCAGACAAAGCCUCAUGUUCUUCUGCAUGUAGCAGAGGCGUUAUUCCAGGCGGAUGGAGUGGGAUAAAGGUGAGAAUUUACAUUUCCAACAGAGGGAAAUAAAAAAAGCAAGCAGUGGAAGCUCUAUUGUUUGUAUAAAACAACACAGGAUUCAAAGCUAGGAUACACACAGCAGAGGUCAUAGCCACACAAGAUUUUUCCAUCAGUGUUUUUUAAUUAUAUAAAGUAGGACAUCUCCAUCUCAAAUUCAAGUUCUUUAAAAUUUUAUCAGAAGAGAAAUGCAUUCCAAAUCUUCAUGGUCCUUAAAUGGUUCCUUUUUAAUUAAUAAUUUCCUGAACUUGCUGCACUUGAUUCCCAUUUCUCAGCAGGUCCUUGUGCACUGGUACCCAACAAAUAAACCAUCUCUAUGUAUCAACACAUUGAGAUGUCAAAGUAAGGAAUCCAAGCGUAUGUCUAGACUACAUGGCUCUGUCG